CCUAACGACGUUCUCCAGCCUUCAGACUUCAAAGUUGCACAGAUAUUGCAGAGCCAUAGUUGAGGGGUGAGGGGGUGGGGGACACAGUUGCUUCCCAGUCUUCCACCCCCUCCACUCUUUGGGCAACUUUUCCUGGAACCGCCUGCUGUUCUUGGCUGCUGUGGGAAGGAGCCCGCAUCCAGGUGAAGAUGCAGAGCAGUCAGCUGUGAGCCCGGGGGAACUGAUGGAACCAGAUCCUGACCUAAGUCAAUUGCUAGGACUCUGUCCCUCAGGGAGUAAAGCACAGAGAACAUUUCCAUCCUGUGUUCAUCCACGCCAUCUACCAGAGCUCCUGGUCCCUGCCCAUGACAUAAAGACACCACAAUGAGCUGGAUGUGGGGGCCACCGGCUCCAGAGGCUAAGGGAGAGUGGACCUGUGCCGCUCUGUGCUCAACCAGUUCACCGAAGAGCCGGCAACCAGCUCUGACACAGGCGGCCACACCCCACUUCUGGAAAACACCGCUCAGACUCCAAGGGUGCUUCUUGGCCACCCCUUCCCCCCUGGGGCCCUCCCCCACCGCAGAUCCCGCUGCCAGCUCUGGGGGCUGUGUGGGCCCUGGGCCACCACGAGAAGCACUUGGUACUGCAGGCUCUUGGAGCUCGGCACAAAAGAAUUCAAGCUCUGCAGUCGGAAAACCAAGCAGCCUUCACAACUUCCGGGUGCGGACCUCGGGCGAGUUGCAGGGCUCCUCUCCAUGUCAGCUCCUCCUUUGUAGCGUGGAGAUAAGAUGUCUCUUGCAAGGGCCCAGUUUCUCCCUCGGGCAUCCAGCCUGCAGGAACGUUCCAGGCCACAGGGUCGCUCUUCCUGGCCCCACCUCUCGCCUUGACCUGGGUCAUUUUUUGCAGCACUUCUCAAAUGCUGCCCUGCACUGUCCUCGUGGCAGAAGGGAACUUUUCAGCUGCUUACAAGGAAGCCACGCACACACAAAAAAACUGACUGUUGCCAAUUCUCGCCUUCAAAAGUGACAGAUCAUAGUGGAGAUGCUGGCCUCAGGGUUCUGGUUAGCCAGGAGCAGAGGAGAACUUGUCAUUUCAGAGCACCAGCCAGUGCCUCAUGCUACUAACUGCUGGAGUCUUGGCUUACCUGAGCAAGUUAGUGAGCUUGUGUGUUACUCAGGACUCUUUUCACUGCAAAUGACAGAUUUGCAACCCAAAUCCCUAAAGUAAGAAUAAUAUUUAUUGGUUCACUACAUGGAAAACAGAAUCUAUAGUUGUCCUUAGCUUCAGGUACGGCGGUAUCCAGGGGCUCAGUGGUGUGUCUCCUCUGCUUUCCUCCGUGGAUAACCUCAUCUGUUUAACAGAGGAUGAUGGUAGCUCUAGGUU
ensembl:lncRNA